CUCAGGACCACGACUUUCAAACUGGAUUUUCUUCUUCACUUUGAAUAGACACAUGCCCUGAAAUGGUGUUAGGAUUGAAGGGGCACAUGUCCGCCAUCUAUUGGUGGGAGGUGGUAACAAGAUUUAGCAACUCUAUCUGGAGCUAUGGUCUGUUUCGUUCAGUUAUGUUACUUAUCACAAUAUUGUGACUUUGGGAGUUAAAGGGUUAAUAUCAAACCAGUAAAGUA